rnacentral:misc_RNA from 1 species
AACCAUAGAAACCUGCGGAGUACCUGCGGAGGGAUCAUUACAGGACUCGCAAGACUCCUUAAACCCCUGUGAACUUACUGUUUAUACGUUGCUUCGGCGGGUGCUCCGGGGUCCGCCCCGGGGCGCUGCGCCCGCCGGCAGCCUACUUAAUUCUGUUUCUCUGCGUUGGCAUCUCGAGUAAGCAAAAUAAGUUAAAACUUUCAACAACGGAUCU